AUUAGUGUCCUAGGGCUGCCAUAACAGAACACCACAGGUUGGGUGGCUUAAACAAGAGAAAUUUAUUUUCUCGUAGUUCUGGAGACUGAAAGUUCGUGAUCAAGA